GGGCGGAGGGCCCGGCCGGUUCCACACCGCGGUGCGAGGUUCCCCGUGUGUCCUGCAACAUCCAAAGCUGGAAUUGUUCAUUUCCUCAGCGCCAGUUCCCAGUUCCUGCGAGAAUCCCACAAAACACAGACACGAUUUCUUCCACUUCAAGGCUGAAAACUGACAGGAGCAAUGUCGUGACUUACAGAAAACCGAGGCUCGGUGAAGGAUGACAUCAGCUAAAAAUCAUAAAAACAGAAUCCAGAGCUCGGCCCCGUCAGUACAAAGACAUUUCUGCGAGUGACA